GGGUAACCUGCCUGUAAGACUGGGAUAACUCCGGGAAACCGGGGCUAAUACCGGAUAACUCAUUUCCUCGCAUGAGGAAAUGUUGAAAGGUGGCUUUUAGCUACCACUUACAGAUGGACCCGCGGCGCAUUAGCUAGUUGGUGAGGUAACGGCUCACCAAGGCGACGAUGCGUAGCCGACCUGAGAGGGUGAUCGGCCACACUGGGACUGAGACACGGCCCAGACUCCUACGGGAGGCAGCAGUAGGGAAUCUUCCGCAAUGGACGAAAGUCUGACGGAGCAACGCCGCGUGAGUGAUGAAGGUUUUCGGAUCGUAAAGCUCUGUUGUUAGGGAAGAACAAGUGCCGUUCGAAUAGGGCGGCACCUUGACGGUACCUAACCAGAAAGCCACGGCUAACUACGUGCCAGCAGCCGCGGUAAUACGUAGGUGGCAAGCGUUGUCCGGAAUUAUUGGGCGUAUGAGCGCGCGCAGGUGGUUCCUUUAAGUUCUGAUGUGAAAGCCCACGGCUCAACCGUGGAGGGUCAUUGGAAAACUGGGGAACUUGAAGUGCAGAAGAGGAAAGUGGAAUUCCAGUGUAGCGGGUGAAAUGCGUAGAUA
rnacentral:rRNA from 2 species